rnacentral:sRNA from 1 species
CCACCAAUAGGGAACGUGAGCU